rnacentral:rRNA from 1 species
UAGGGAAUCUUCCGCAAUGGACGCAAGUCUGACGGAGCAACGCCGCGUGAGUGAAGAAGGUUUUCGGAUCGUAAAACUCUGUUGUAAGAGAAGAACAAAUUGUAGAGUAACUGCUACAGUCUUGACGGUAUCUUACCAGAAAGCCACGGCUAACUACGUGCCAGCAGCCGCGGUAAUACGUAGGUGGCAAGCGUUGUCCGGAUUUAUUGGGCGUAAAGGGGGCGCAGGCUGCUUCUUAAGUCUGAUGUGAAAGCCCACGGCUUAACCGUGGAAGGGGAUUGGAAACUGGGAAGGUUGAGUACAGAAGAGGAAAGUGGAAAUCAAUGUGUAGCGGUGGAAGGCGUAGAUAUAUGGAAGAAAAAAAGUGGAGAAAGCGACUUUCUGGUAUGUGACUGACGCUGAGGAACGAAAGCGUGGGUAGCAAACAGG